GACAGAGGAUGCAAGCGUUAUCCGGAAUGAUUGGGCGUAAAGCAUCUGUAGGUGGCUUUUCAAGUCCGCUGUCAAAUACCAGGGCUCAACCCUGGACAGGUGGUGGAAACUACCAAGCUGGAGUAUGGUAGGGGUAAAGGGAAUUUCCAGUGGAGCGGUGAAAUGCGUAGAGAUUGGAAAGAACACCGAUGGCGAAGGCACUUUACUGGGCUAUUACUAACACUCAGAGACGAAAGCUAGGGUAGCAAAUGGG
rnacentral:rRNA from 1 species